rnacentral:rRNA from 1 species
UACAGGGGGUGCAAACGUUGCUCGGAAUUAUUGGGCGUAAAGCGCGCGUAGGCGGCCACUUAAGUCGGAUGUGAAAGCCCCUGGCUCAACUGGGGAAGUGCACCCGAAACUGAGCGGCUUGAAUGCAAAAGAGGGUCGCGGAAUUCCCGGUGUAGAGGUGAAAUUCGUAGAUAUCGGGAGGAACACCGGUGGCGAAGGCGGCGACCUGGGUUGACAUUGACGCUGAGGCGCGAAAGCUAGGGGAGCAAACGGG